AGUAAAAGUCGUAACAAGGUUUCCGUAGGUGAACCUGCGGAAGGAUCAUUAGUGAUUUAAAAAGUUUUUUCUUUUAUAUAAAUAAAAGAUUAACUUUUAUCUUCUAUACUAUUAAACCACUGUUUAAAAAUGUUAUAAGAAUGUUAUGUAAUUUAUAAAAUUACAGAAAGCUUUAUAUUAUAUUAAAACUUUCAGCAACGGAUCUCUUGGUUCAGGCAUCGAUGAAGAACGCAGCGAAAUGCGAUAAGUAAUGUGAAUUGCAGAUACAGUGAAUCAUCGAAUCUUUGAACGCAAAUGGCGCUCUAUGGUAUUCCGUAGAGCACGUCUGUUUGAGCGUCGCGAACAUCUCCAAAAUCAACUUUUUUUUUGUUGGUAGAGGGUUAUGAGGUUGUCUAUGCUCUGUCAUAGACUUCCUUCAAAUUGAUUAGUAAGGCUCUAUUAAAGGGUUAAUACUUGAUGUUAUAGUGGAUCUUAUCCAUCAUCAGUCAGAGGUUUUUUUUCAAAAACCUCGCCUAUUAAUAGUAGCUUGAUUGCUUCUAAAUGUCAGUAAAAUGACAACCUAUAAAUGAUCAAAUCGACCUCAAAUCAGAUGGGAUUACCCGCUGAACUUAAGCAUAUCAAUAAGCGGAGGAAAAGAAACUAACAAGGAUUCCCCUAGUAAUGGCGAAUGAAACGGGAAAA
rnacentral:rRNA from 1 species